UCGAGCAGAGCAGCGACAUUUAUUUUAUUUCUUACAUUAAUUUAUUUCAUUUCUUUCUCACACGAAGCUCGAAAGAAGCUAGCAAACUCGGUCGACUUGUCGCAUGCAUGCAUUCAAUCAGAAGCCUCCACCGAGGAAUCCCGCUUCCGGCACCGGCGCCGGCGCCGGCGUGCAGCGCUGCUCGCAGAAGUUAGUGAGGAUGUCAUCGCAGCGGUAGGUGACGACGGGGCCGUGGCCGCCGCCGGGACGAAUUCCGGCACCGACCUUGACGCAGUUCUUGCACUCCGGGUGGCAUCCGUCCACCGAGACGUCAUUGCACUGGCAGUCCGGCGGCAGCUUCCUGUUGCAAAAACCGCAGUUGUCGCAGCACGGCCACGACGAGCCUGGUUUGCAUGCGCCCGGUACGGUGUGGCCGUACAUGUUUAGUAAAAAAAGUCUAUGUGCAUAUGCAUACAUCCUUUAAUAAGUGAUAAGUGAUAUAUAUAUAUAUAUAUAUAUAUAUAUAUAUAUAUAUAUAUAUAUAUAUAUCCUAGUGAAAAUUAAAAACGAAGAAUUUAGGAUUGUGGCUACCACUAGUAGAAAAGGGUACAACACCGACGUCCUCUUUUUAUACCACAGGCGGUUAUAGUUAUCACGCGCCUGUGUUAUAAAAAGGAGGCGGUUUUCGUAACUGAUGGAAAUGAAACUAAACGGUGCAUGAAAGGAUUCUGGCUACCUUUGCCGAGCGGCAGAGCUGCGAGGACGCCGAGAAGAGCCAGAGUGACGACGAGUAUCAGCUGAGGCCUCAUCUUUAAUUUGUUUCUCCUCGCAAGAACAGGCCUGAAUUAAUCAAUGCCAAGUUUGUUGCUUGGAUUUCUUUGCUACGUGUACGUGCGUAUAUACGGCUAUAUAUGUGCAUGUAUGGUGGAGGCUGGACUGGAACUGGAGGUCUUCUUAUAGCAGUGGCGGAGGGCGGCUUCCAGCGUAGAAGCCCGGCCAUGCGAUGCGAUGCGACACGGUCUCAAGCGCGCGCACGUUCCAUGAAACAACUCUGCAUGCAUGCAUGUCGUAUUUUCCUCAUUCCAUCAUGCGUUGCAUGGAAAAAAAAAACAACGUGAUGCACGCGUGCGCAUCCCUACUAGAUAUGAUAUGAUGAUGGACGCCACAUGCAUGCAUGGAUCUGGGCGGUCGUGGGAUAUAUAAGCAAGUCGCCGGUACGGGCGACGGUGACAUAUAUGAUGGGAGGAGGAUUGCGAUGGGAACGAUCGAGUGGCCCCGGGUCAAGAUGGAUAAGCGUCUAGUGGUGCUAUACAGAAACGUGCACGUUAUUGUCUGCAUGCUCUUCUACCUUCUGCUUGUAGCGUGAGCCUUGUUUAGUUCCCAAAAUAUUUUACAAAAUUUUUCACAUUUUCCGUCACAUCGAAUCUUACGGCACAUACAUGAAGCACUCAGUGGCGGAUCCAGGAUGGAGACAAAAGAAGGGGUUAAAUAGUGAACAUAUAAGGUUAAAAUUAGAUAUUAAUAAGAAUUUAAGGGUAAUUAACACUAAUUUAAUGGACAAAUCAGACUCGUAGGAUCCGCCCCUGGAAGCACUAAAUAUAGAUACAAGAAAUAACUAAUUACAUAAUUUACCUGUAAUUUGCGAGACGAAUCUUUUGAGCCUAGUUAGUCUAUAAUUGGACAAUAUUUAUCAAAUAAAAAUAAAAGUGCUACUAUUCCUAUUUUACAAAAAAAUUUGGAAGUAAACAAGGCCUUAGUUUAGUUCAAAAGUUUGUAAAAUUUUUCAGAUUUCCUGUCACAUCGAAUCUUGCGUAACAUGCAUAGAGCAUUAAAUAUAGAUAAGUAAUUUAGGUUAUCCAUGAUUGGACAACGUUUAUAAAAUACAAACGAAAAUACUAUUAUGUCCAUUUUGUAAAAAAAAAAUGGAACCAAACAAGGCCGAUGUUGGUUGACCGAGUACAGGGUGCAUCACUGCACAUGUGUUUGGGGAUCCUUACCGGGCCUAUUUGAUAAAUAUUAUUUAAUUAUAGACUAAUUAUGUUCAAAAAAUUUAUUUUGUAAAUUACAGGUAAAUUUUAUUUCUUUUAUCUAUAUUUAAUACCCAUGUGAUACAAGAUUUGAUGUGAUGAAAAAUCUAAAAAAAAUUAUAAAAUAUUUUGGGAACUAAACAAGGCCUUGAUGUCUUUCUCUAUUUGCCUAGCCAUUUCAGGUGGGAACGAAAGCCCAGCACGGUCAGCAUGCAUGUGCUCAGUCAGGCCUCGCCCUGCCACGAUUCUCAAAAAAAAAAAAAAACCCUAGAACGAAGGCGACAUUCUGUCCUGUUUUAGAGCUGAUUGUUGACCGUGGAGCCAUGGAGCUGCCGUCUCAACAGUACUAUACGAGUUAGCAGCUAUUUUAUAUAUAACCAUGUUAUUGUCACUUCAUUAUCUCACAUGUAAAUGAUUUUUUAUUCUAUAUUUUUUCUUCUUCUUCUUCUCUUAUUCUUUAUGUGCAGGCCACAAACUAUCUUGUUUUUUCUGAACGAGAUAAGCGUAGAGAUAAGAGAUAGUCUCUUCUCUUUUCCAUUUUCUCUCUUUUUGACAUCACAAAAGUGCUCACAUGAAUUCUUAUGAGCUAAUUAAGGUGGCACUGUUAUUGGUACACCCGGAGUAGCACGAGUGGAGAGGGCAGCAAAGUGUAGCCUUUAGCUCACAUAGAAGAGCAGACCUGGUUGGGCGAUCCGAUUGGAUUGGAUCCCUCUCUACGUGUUCUAUAGGUUUAGGAACUCUUCCCAAAAGGCCGAGUUUCUGUCCGAAUCGAAAUUCGUGCACAUUUUCUUUCUUCUUUUCUUUUCCCUAACCGAUCUACACAACUAGAUGUAAGCAACCUAGCUUUGAUACUAUUGUUAGAACUUAGAAUAGUCUAGAGUGUAGAUCUAGCAGGUACUUUACUUCUAUUCGGGAUAAACAAUUUGGAAUUUCAUAGAUCCGAGGAGGAAGAGAGGAUGGGGCUGAUGGCACUGUAGCAGUGAACCUAGUGUCUUGUGCCCUAGCCCCAUCCUCUCUUUUAUACACUGCGCGACGGGGCCCACCAGCCAGUAGAAGGCUGAACGUCUCCGGUCAGGACAGGUCAAGGGUCCGGUCCAGUAUUUGGACUUGAGCCAGUGGAGAUCGAUCUAACAUGACAGUGUUCGGCAAACUAGAUGUAAUGCAUGCAUCACAUUUAGAGCAAAAGCGGGCGAUGGAUUAGACAUCAUUGGUAUCAUCGUUAUGUCUUUUUGAACUCACAUAUGCUUCGCUUAAAAACAUAAGAGCAUAUGUUAAUAACGAAAUAUGAUCGGUUUACCUAAACGCAAACAGAUGUAACAAAGAUAUUGUCAUGACUCGACACCAUAACACAGUGCUUUGAGCAUAGCGUGCAUCAUGCAUGGCUCUUUAUUCCAGAAACAGUACUAAUACACUGACGACAACGUACAAGAGCAUAAGCAAGCAUCGAGUAGAGCAGCGAUAUUUAUUUUAUUUCUUACAUUAAUUUAUUUUAUUUCUUCUUCUCUCAGACGAAGCUCGAGAGAAGCAAAACUCGACUUGUCGCAUGCAUGCAUGCAAUCAGAAGCCCCUACCCAGGAAUGCCGCCUCUGGCGCUGGCGCCGGCGCCGGCGUGCAGCGCUGCUCGCAGAAGUUUGUGAGAACAUCAUCGCAGCGGUAGGUGACGACGGGGCCAGAGCCGACCAUGACGCAGUUCUUGCACUCCGGGUGGCACCCGUCCACCGAGACGUCAUCGCACUGGCAGUCCGGCGGCAGCUGCCUGUCACAAAAACCGCAGUUGUCGCAGCACGGCCACGACGAGCCUGGUUUCCACCCGGUGUGGCCGUACAUGUUUAGUAAAAAAUGUCAAGUGUGCAUGCAUACAUCCUUUAACAAGUGAUAUAUAUAUAUAAAAGAAACUAAACGGUGCAUGAAAGGAUUCUGGGUACCUUUGCCGAGCGGCAGAGCAGCGAGGACGCCGAGAAGAGCCAGAGUGACGACGAGUAUCAGCUGAGGCCUCAUCUUUGUUACUGUGUCCCGGCAAGAACAGGCCUGAAUUUAUGCCAAGUUUUUUGCUUGGAUUUCUUUGCUACGUGUAUGUAUAUUCUCGCGGCUAUAUGAUGUGUAUGGUCGAGGCUGGAGGUCUUGUUAUAUAUAGCAUAGCAGGGGAUGGAGGUCCAGCGUGCCUAGAGAUGUCAAUCCCCACACGAUCGAAUAUAUAAAAUUCCACUACUAGCUAGGCGGCGGCAAGUGCCACAACUUUGCACUCCCAUGCGAUGCGACACGGUCUGGAUGAGUUUCCAAGCGCGCGCACGUUCCAUUCGUAUUUUUCUCAUUCCAUCAUGCAAUGCACAUGCCACCUGCGAGGGCGAUGGACGCCACCCGUCGACCUUUCCAAAAUAUUUUGUAAAAUUUUUCAAAUUUCUUGUCACAUCGAAUCUUACGACACAUGUACAAAGCAUUAAAUAUAGAUAAAAUAAUAACUAAUUACAUAGUUUGUCUGUAAUUUGCGAGACGACGAAUCUUUUGAGCCUAGUGAGUCAAUAAUUAGAUAAUAUUUAUUAAAUAUAAACGAAAAUGCUACAAUAACAAUUUUGGCAAAAAUUUUGAGAGUUAACAAGGCCCUGCUUGGUUGACCGAGUGCAGGGAUGACGCAGUGUACAUGUGUCUGGGAUCCUUUCAUAUACAUAUAUAGAGCAUUAAUUAUAGAUAAAAAAUAACUAAAUAUAUAUUUUGUUUAUAAUUUAGGAGACGAAUCUUUUGAGUCUAGGUAGUCAAUGAUUAGAUAAGUGUUUAUUUUGUUAAAAAAUUUGGAAUUAAACAAGGCGCUGGUUGGUUGAUCGAGUGCAUCAGUGCACAUGUGUCUGGAGAUACUUCCUGGAUGUCCUCUCUAUUUGCCUAUUUGCCUAGUCAUUUCAGGUGGGAACGGGAGCCCAGCACGGUCAGCAUGCAUGUGCUCAGUCCUCGCCUUGCCACCUGGAACGAAGGCCUUGUUUAGUUUUCUCCAAAACUCAAAAACUUUUCAAGUUUUCGUGUUAUAUUGAAUUUUACGGCUGCAUUAAAUAUUAACGAAAACAAAAACUAGUUAUACAAUUUAUCUAUAAAUUACGAAACGAAUCUUUUAAGCCUAUUUAGUCUAUGAUUAGACAAUAAUUACCAAAUACAAACAAAAAUGUUACAAUAUUUUAAAUUUUUCCCCCACUCAACUGAACAAGGCCGAGCUGAUUGUUGACCGUGGAGCCAUGGAGCUGGCGUCUCAACAGUACUGUACGAAAUUAGCAGCUAUAUUUUUUUAAGAUAAAGGAUAGAAACUAUCCGGCUUCAUCUACCCAUAGGUAGAAUCAGGCCAAAUUAAUACAACGGGAGAAAAAAAGAAGAUAAAUAACGGAAAAAUUACAUCCCCAACAAGGGCUCAAGUAGUCCUAGGCAACAAACCGUCUUGAUCCAAGAUGUCAACUCCUAUGGAAUACGAUCGCCAGCGUCAAGACAAAGUCGUCGAAACACGUUUGUCACACCUUAAAAAAGAUAGUGAAAACGUUGGACACCGACCACCAUUGACGAUUGGAUGCUUCUUCCAAGGCAACAGCGCAAAGAACUUGGAACAGAGACGGACCUGCCAUCCAAACUCCAAGCAGUUAUACCAAUGAACACCUCCUCCGACAAGAACAGCACGACGGAGAGACGUGGUUCCCGGCCAUGACGAACAACCACUUCGACGACGAGCCAACACGUCGCCGCCGGCCUGGAGAAACCAGGCUAGGUUUUCACCAAGUUGUUGGACGACCACAACCGCUACAGCUCCAGCGACACCUUCAACAAGGUGAGUAGCACCGUCAGUACCACCGUCGCCGGCCCGGCGUAAUGCCAGGUAGGGUUUUCACCCAAACUGCAGCCAGACGAAGAUCGCUGCGUGCCUGGGACUGGCACCCGCCGGAUCUGGGACGCCCAUCGGAUCCCAGUGGACUCAGGGCCCCGAAUCUAGGAGGUGCACCGCCGACUUCCAGGCAGCGCCGCGCAGACGCCCACCCCGGCGCUAGCAGUAGGACCCCACUCGGAGAGAGCGGAUCCAUGUCUCCUAGCACUGGAUCUCGCCAGGCACGGGGACGUCAUCUCUCCACCUCAGGUGCCAUGGAGGCAGAUGGACAGAAAACGAAAAAGACGACGCACGAAACUGCACUACCGCCAGGAUCGACGAGAUCCAUCCCGCACGGAGGAGCUUGCAGAAUUCCUGGAGAACACCUCGCCGCCGCCAUCACAGAGGGUCGCGCGGGCCUCCCGGCGUUCCUCUCCGGCAGCAGCGAGGGGAGGGAAGACGGGGUGGGAGGGUGUGGCGGCUGCUAGGGUUUGGGAAGACGGGGUGGAAGACGAGGAAUAUAACUCUUAUAAAGCAAAACUCUAAUAUCUAUUUCUCUUGACAUCCAAUGCAUCCACCUCAGCAGUUCACUAUUAACUCCACUAUCUAUUUUUCUUAAAAUGCAAAGCGUCCACCUCAGCAGUCUACUAUCAUUCGCUACUAUAAAUUUCUCUUGACAUGCAAAAUGUCCACCACAACAAUCUACUAUCAUUUGCAUUAAAUUUUACUAGCACAAAAAUUAUGACAUCCACAUUAGUGAAACACAUCAUCCACUAUGAAUAUAAUUUCUAUGAUUAUGCUAAUAAAGGAGUUAUAUAUUUAUAUUCCUCCUUCAUGCCCGCGGCAACGCGCGGAGAAUCCUCCUAGUUUUAUAUAUAACCAUGUCAUUGUCACUUCAUUACAGAGUCUCACAUGUAAAUGAUUUUUAUUCUUUUUCUCUCGUUCUUUAUGAGCAGGCCACAAACUAUCUCGUUUUUCAGAGCGAGAUAGGUGUAGAAAUAAGAGAUAGUCUCUUCACUUUUCCAUCUUCUUUCUUUUUCACAUCAGACGAGAUAGGUAUAGAGAUAAGAGAUAGGCUCUUCUCUUUUUCAUCUUCUCGCUUUUUCACAUCAGAAAAGUGCUCACAUGAAUUGUUAUGAGCCAGUUAAUGUGGCACUGUUGGUACACCUGGAGCAGCACCAAUGGAGAGGGCAGCAAAGUGUAGCCUUUAGCUCACAUAGGAGAGCAGAGCUGGUUGGGCGAUUGGUAGCUGUGGGGUUAACUUGAGCUUCAACUUGGUGCAUGGAGAUCUCACAAAUUUUUGUCAUCCAAGGGACAUGGAUAUCAAAAAGGAUUUGCUGAUUGUUCCUAUUUUUCGAAGCAGAUAAAAUUCUACUUUCAUGAAUCUGACAGUCGAGAGUAUUGUGAGAAAAACUUGCACAGUAAGUGUAAAUCUUGCAGAUUUCCAUAUAAUGGACAACUUUACUAGUACUCUUUAACAAACGAGCAGUGUUUUCAGCUCAUAUUAAAUCAGCAUAAGAAUGAACAUAAGCUAAUUUUUUUAUGAAAUAAGCAUAAACAUAAAUCAAAUUUCAGUGAAACGAGCAGCAAGUUGUGGCAAUACAAGUACAACAAAGGUAACCAAGAUAUUGUCAUGACUCGACACGAUACCAGUGCUUUGAGCAUAUAGCAGCUUCAUCACGAAUGGCUCUUUAUUCCAGAAACAGUACUAAUAAUACACUGACGGACGACGUACAAUAGCAAGCAUCGAGCUGAGCGGCGACAUUUAUUCUAUUUCUUCUCUCAGACAAAGCUCGAGAGAAGCAAACUUGACUUGCCAUAUGGAUGCUUGUAGCAGAUUUGCAUCAGAAGCCACCACCCAGGAACGCCGCCUCCGGCGGCGGCGCCGCGUGCAGCGUUCUUGCAGAAGUUUGUGAGGAUGUCAUCGCAGCGGUAGGUAACGACGGGGCCGUGGCCGCUGCCGGGAGGAAUCCCUGCACCAACCUUGACGCAUAUCUUGCACUCCGGGUGGCACCCCUGCACCGAGACAUCCUUGCACUUGCAAUCCCGCGGGAGCCACUAGUACAGAGACAGACUAUACAGGCGGUUGGUAACCUAUUUCUACUGGCGUUUUUCAGCACCGCCUGUGCUAGAGGCCAGUAGAAAUGGGCCAAUUUCAUGGCGGUUCCUUAUGAGCCGCUUGUAGAAAACAUUUCCACAGGCGGCUCUCUUUGGUAACCGUCUGUGGAAUUUUUUUUAUAGAAAAUAUGAAAUCGCGUUUUUAAAAACAGGGAAAAAAGAUUUAAUUUUAGGGAAGGCCUACUGGCUAGUCGACCGCUUCGCAGCCCCCAAGUCGCGCAUUUUUUCACGUAAAAUCGCAUGCUACGCGGCCGCUAGUGGGAUUCGAACCUAACACCUCGCCCUCGCGCGUAACGUCCUCUACCACUCCACAUAUCACUCAGAUGUGUCUAUAUUAGAGUUUUGUUCACCAUAUAUUAUCCUAAACUCAGCAUACAUUGAUUAUUUGAGGCCUUAAACAUAUUCAAAUAGAAAAGUUGUCAACUACAAACUUUGAUAACUUUUCAAGAUCUACAACUUUUAUAUUGGUAGUUUCUCCAUCCGAUGUCAUUUAUAAAAUUUGAAUUUCAAAUUUGAGAAAUUCAAACGUUGUUUUCGACGACAAGAUGAUCUCAAAUGAAAAAAAUUAUCAACUAUAAAAUUUCAUAACUUUUUGAGAUCUACAACUUUCAUUUUGACAGUUUUUUCAAACGAGGUCAUUUAAAAAGCUCAAAAAAUUCAAUUUCAAAUUAUUUUUAUAGGCGAUUUUCUUAAGCAACCGUCUGUAGAAAUAUGAUUUUUAGUGGCGGUUCCUUAGGACAACCGCAUGUAGAAAUACAUGAUUUCUACAUGUGGUUUUCUUAAGCAACUGCCUGUAGAAAUAUAAUUUUUAGUGGCGGUUCCUUAGGAAAACCGCAUGUACAAAUGCAUGAUUUCUACAGGCGGUUUUGUUAGAAAAACCGCAUGUAAAAAUACAUCUUCACAUACGGUUGGUAGUUCUGACACCGCCCUUUUUAUACCACAGGCGCGUGAUAACUAAAACCGCCUGUGAUAUAAAAAGGGGCGUCAGCGUUGUACUAUUUUCUACUAGUGAGCUUCCUGUCACAAACACCACAUAUGUCGCAGCAUGACCACAACGACCCUUGUGUGCCACUACUACGGAACGCUCUAUCACUAUCGGUGACAUCACAGUUAGAAAUGACAGAAUCGACAGUGAUGAGUCUUCACUGUCGGUUCAAAGCUUUGAGAGGCUUCGAAUGAUUGAAAAGGGGAAGAGCCGACAGUGAUGGACAACAUCACUGCCGGUUUGUUACUAGGACCUACAGUGUUGCCUUCUUCAUCUUUCACUGUCGGUCCGACACCUGAGCUAGCAAUGAUAUUGGGAUAUCACUGACGGCUCGUGUCGCCAACUGCCAGUGAUAUCCCCUGACAGCACAAAAAGCCUGCAGGCUUCCUCUGCUUCCGCCUCACUCCCAUCACGAGAACAUAGGAGCUUGCACGUGCCAUUCCCUCCAUUGUUACGGCUGCUCUUCCCCAUGACUCUCUCUUUUGGAUUUUGAAGAAUGGCUUGAUCUUUUUACUUUAAGGUUAGUAAGGGCAUCCACUUCAUCGAUUUUGGUGCUUAAUUAUCUUAGUUUGAAGGCUACAUUGCUUGAUUCUCAUUCUAGUUCUUCCUCCAUCCGAGAGAGCAAGCCAUUGGAUUUUGUGCAAAGCUCCCAAGCAAUUUGUGAGGAAUAUAUACAUCAUCUCCAUCAUCCAUAAAAGCUACAUGUUUUUGUCUAUAUAUCAUGACCUCAUUUGAAAUCUUUGGAAAUUUCAUGGUUUGAUCAAGAUGCAUGAUUGUUAGUAUGUGAUGCUCGAAUUAGUUCAUAUUAUUUAGGAGUAGAGUAGAUUAUUUUACAAUUUUGUUAGGAGUUGACACAUUGUUUGGUGUUCAUGAUCAAGUAUCCAAUUAAUUUUGUUCAUAAUCAAGAUGAUUGACAGUGUUCGGCAAGAAGCUUAGAGUUGUCGAACAAUGGUUGAUAUUCAUAUAUCGGCCAAAGAAAAAGUAGCCAAAUGCAUGCAUCACAUUUAGAGCAAAAGCAGGCGAUGGAGUAAACAACAUUGCUCUCAUCAUUGUUAUGUCUUUCCAAACUCACAUAUAUGCUUUGUUUAAAAACAUAAGAACAUAUGUUAAUAACGAAAUAUGAUCAGUCAUUCAGCAAUAUUUUUCCUCUCAGAAUAAAUUAGUAAAGAGUAAUUUCAUUUAUGACUCUUGUAUUGUCAUGACUCGACACCAUAACACGGUGCUUUGAGCAUAGUGUGCAUCAUUCAUGGCUCUUUAUUCCAGAAACAGUACUAAUACACUGACCACGUACAAGAGCACAAACAAGCAUAUCGAGCAGAGCAGCGACAUUUAUUUUAUUUCUUACAUUAAUUUAUUUUAUUUCUUCUCUCAGACGAAGCUCGAGAGGAAGCAAACUCGAUCGACUUGUCGCAUGCAUGCCAUCAGAAGCCCCUACCCAGGAACGCCGCCUCCGGCGCCGGCGCCGGCGCCGGCGCUGGCGUGCAGCGCUGCUCGCAGAAGUUUGUGAGAACGUCAUCGCAGCGGUAGGUGACGACGGGGCCAGAGCCGACCAUGACGCAGUUCUUGCACUCCGGGUGGCACCCGUCCACCGAGACGUCAUCGCACUGGCAGUCCGGCGGCAGCUGCCUGUCACAAAAACCGCAGUUGUCGCAGCACGGCCACGACGAGCCUGGUUUCCACCCGGUGUGGCCGUACAUGUUUAGUAAAAAAUGUCAAGUGUGCAUGCAUACAUCCUUUAACAAGUGAUAUAUAUAUAUAAAAGAAACUAAACGGUGCAUGAAAGGAUUCUGGGUACCUUUGCCGAGCGGCAGAGCAGCGAGGACGCCGAGAAGAGCCAGAGUGACGACGAGUAUCAGCUGAGGCCUCAUCUUUGUUACUGUGUCCCGGCAAGAACAGGCCUGAAUUUAUGCCAAGUUUUUUGCUUGGAUUUCUUUGCUACGUGUAUGUAUAUUCUCGCGGCUAUAUGAUGUGUAUGGUCGAGGCUGGAGGUCUUGUUAUAUAUAGCAUAGCAGGGGAUGGAGGUCCAGCGUGCCUAGAGAUGUCAAUCCCCACACGAUCGAAUAUAUAAAAUUCCACUACUAGCUAGGCGGCGGCAAGUGCCACAACUUUGCACUCCCAUGCGAUGCGACACGGUCUGGAUGAGUUUCCAAGCGCGCGCACGUUCCAUUCGUAUUUUUCUCAUUCCAUCAUGCAAUGCACAUGCCACCUGCGAGGGCGAUGGACGCCACCCGUCGACCUUUCCAAAAUAUUUUGUAAAAUUUUUCAAAUUUCUUGUCACAUCGAAUCUUACGACACAUGUACAAAGCAUUAAAUAUAGAUAAAAUAAUAACUAAUUACAUAGUUUGUCUGUAAUUUGCGAGACGACGAAUCUUUUGAGCCUAGUGAGUCAAUAAUUAGAUAAUAUUUAUUAAAUAUAAACGAAAAUGCUACAAUAACAAUUUUGGCAAAAAUUUUGAGAGUUAACAAGGCCCUGCUUGGUUGACCGAGUGCAGGGAUGACGCAGUGUACAUGUGUCUGGGAUCCUUUCAUAUACAUAUAUAGAGCAUUAAUUAUAGAUAAAAAAUAACUAAAUAUAUAUUUUGUUUAUAAUUUAGGAGACGAAUCUUUUGAGUCUAGGUAGUCAAUGAUUAGAUAAGUGUUUAUUUUGUUAAAAAAUUUGGAAUUAAACAAGGCGCUGGUUGGUUGAUCGAGUGCAUCAGUGCACAUGUGUCUGGAGAUACUUCCUGGAUGUCCUCUCUAUUUGCCUAUUUGCCUAGUCAUUUCAGGUGGGAACGGGAGCCCAGCACGGUCAGCAUGCAUGUGCUCAGUCCUCGCCUUGCCACCUGGAACGAAGGCCUUGUUUAGUUUUCUCCAAAACUCAAAAACUUUUCAAGUUUUCGUGUUAUAUUGAAUUUUACGGCUGCAUUAAAUAUUAACGAAAACAAAAACUAGUUAUACAAUUUAUCUAUAAAUUACGAAACGAAUCUUUUAAGCCUAUUUAGUCUAUGAUUAGACAAUAAUUACCAAAUACAAACAAAAAUGUUACAAUAUUUUAAAUUUUUCCCCCACUCAACUGAACAAGGCCGAGCUGAUUGUUGACCGUGGAGCCAUGGAGCUGGCGUCUCAACAGUACUGUACGAAAUUAGCAGCUAUAUUUUUUUAAGAUAAAGGAUAGAAACUAUCCGGCUUCAUCUACCCAUAGGUAGAAUCAGGCCAAAUUAAUACAACGGGAGAAAAAAAGAAGAUAAAUAACGGAAAAAUUACAUCCCCAACAAGGGCUCAAGUAGUCCUAGGCAACAAACCGUCUUGAUCCAAGAUGUCAACUCCUAUGGAAUACGAUCGCCAGCGUCAAGACAAAGUCGUCGAAACACGUUUGUCACACCUUAAAAAAGAUAGUGAAAACGUUGGACACCGACCACCAUUGACGAUUGGAUGCUUCUUCCAAGGCAACAGCGCAAAGAACUUGGAACAGAGACGGACCUGCCAUCCAAACUCCAAGCAGUUAUACCAAUGAACACCUCCUCCGACAAGAACAGCACGACGGAGAGACGUGGUUCCCGGCCAUGACGAACAACCACUUCGACGACGAGCCAACACGUCGCCGCCGGCCUGGAGAAACCAGGCUAGGUUUUCACCAAGUUGUUGGACGACCACAACCGCUACAGCUCCAGCGACACCUUCAACAAGGUGAGUAGCACCGUCAGUACCACCGUCGCCGGCCCGGCGUAAUGCCAGGUAGGGUUUUCACCCAAACUGCAGCCAGACGAAGAUCGCUGCGUGCCUGGGACUGGCACCCGCCGGAUCUGGGACGCCCAUCGGAUCCCAGUGGACUCAGGGCCCCGAAUCUAGGAGGUGCACCGCCGACUUCCAGGCAGCGCCGCGCAGACGCCCACCCCGGCGCUAGCAGUAGGACCCCACUCGGAGAGAGCGGAUCCAUGUCUCCUAGCACUGGAUCUCGCCAGGCACGGGGACGUCAUCUCUCCACCUCAGGUGCCAUGGAGGCAGAUGGACAGAAAACGAAAAAGACGACGCACGAAACUGCACUACCGCCAGGAUCGACGAGAUCCAUCCCGCACGGAGGAGCUUGCAGAAUUCCUGGAGAACACCUCGCCGCCGCCAUCACAGAGGGUCGCGCGGGCCUCCCGGCGUUCCUCUCCGGCAGCAGCGAGGGGAGGGAAGACGGGGUGGGAGGGUGUGGCGGCUGCUAGGGUUUGGGAAGACGGGGUGGAAGACGAGGAAUAUAACUCUUAUAAAGCAAAACUCUAAUAUCUAUUUCUCUUGACAUCCAAUGCAUCCACCUCAGCAGUUCACUAUUAACUCCACUAUCUAUUUUUCUUAAAAUGCAAAGCGUCCACCUCAGCAGUCUACUAUCAUUCGCUACUAUAAAUUUCUCUUGACAUGCAAAAUGUCCACCACAACAAUCUACUAUCAUUUGCAUUAAAUUUUACUAGCACAAAAAUUAUGACAUCCACAUUAGUGAAACACAUCAUCCACUAUGAAUAUAAUUUCUAUGAUUAUGCUAAUAAAGGAGUUAUAUAUUUAUAUUCCUCCUUCAUGCCCGCGGCAACGCGCGGAGAAUCCUCCUAGUUUUAUAUAUAACCAUGUCAUUGUCACUUCAUUACAGAGUCUCACAUGUAAAUGAUUUUUAUUCUUUUUCUCUCGUUCUUUAUGAGCAGGCCACAAACUAUCUCGUUUUUCAGAGCGAGAUAGGUGUAGAAAUAAGAGAUAGUCUCUUCACUUUUCCAUCUUCUUUCUUUUUCACAUCAGACGAGAUAGGUAUAGAGAUAAGAGAUAGGCUCUUCUCUUUUUCAUCUUCUCGCUUUUUCACAUCAGAAAAGUGCUCACAUGAAUUGUUAUGAGCCAGUUAAUGUGGCACUGUUGGUACACCUGGAGCAGCACCAAUGGAGAGGGCAGCAAAGUGUAGCCUUUAGCUCACAUAGGAGAGCAGAGCUGGUUGGGCGAUUGGUAGCUGUGGGGUUAACUUGAGCUUCAACUUGGUGCAUGGAGAUCUCACAAAUUUUUGUCAUCCAAGGGACAUGGAUAUCAAAAAGGAUUUGCUGAUUGUUCCUAUUUUUCGAAGCAGAUAAAAUUCUACUUUCAUGAAUCUGACAGUCGAGAGUAUUGUGAGAAAAACUUGCACAGUAAGUGUAAAUCUUGCAGAUUUCCAUAUAAUGGACAACUUUACUAGUACUCUUUAACAAACGAGCAGUGUUUUCAGCUCAUAUUAAAUCAGCAUAAGAAUGAACAUAAGCUAAUUUUUUUAUGAAAUAAGCAUAAACAUAAAUCAAAUUUCAGUGAAACGAGCAGCAAGUUGUGGCAAUACAAGUACAACAAAGGUAACCAAGAUAUUGUCAUGACUCGACACGAUACCAGUGCUUUGAGCAUAUAGCAGCUUCAUCACGAAUGGCUCUUUAUUCCAGAAACAGUACUAAUAAUACACUGACGGACGACGUACAAUAGCAAGCAUCGAGCUGAGCGGCGACAUUUAUUCUAUUUCUUCUCUCAGACAAAGCUCGAGAGAAGCAAACUUGACUUGCCAUAUGGAUGCUUGUAGCAGAUUUGCAUCAGAAGCCACCACCCAGGAACGCCGCCUCCGGCGGCGGCGCCGCGUGCAGCGUUCUUGCAGAAGUUUGUGAGGAUGUCAUCGCAGCGGUAGGUAACGACGGGGCCGUGGCCGCUGCCGGGAGGAAUCCCUGCACCAACCUUGACGCAUAUCUUGCACUCCGGGUGGCACCCCUGCACCGAGACAUCCUUGCACUUGCAAUCCCGCGGGAGCCACUAGUACAGAGACAGACUAUACAGGCGGUUGGUAACCUAUUUCUACUGGCGUUUUUCAGCACCGCCUGUGCUAGAGGCCAGUAGAAAUGGGCCAAUUUCAUGGCGGUUCCUUAUGAGCCGCUUGUAGAAAACAUUUCCACAGGCGGCUCUCUUUGGUAACCGUCUGUGGAAUUUUUUUUAUAGAAAAUAUGAAAUCGCGUUUUUAAAAACAGGGAAAAAAGAUUUAAUUUUAGGGAAGGCCUACUGGCUAGUCGACCGCUUCGCAGCCCCCAAGUCGCGCAUUUUUUCACGUAAAAUCGCAUGCUACGCGGCCGCUAGUGGGAUUCGAACCUAACACCUCGCCCUCGCGCGUAACGUCCUCUACCACUCCACAUAUCACUCAGAUGUGUCUAUAUUAGAGUUUUGUUCACCAUAUAUUAUCCUAAACUCAGCAUACAUUGAUUAUUUGAGGCCUUAAACAUAUUCAAAUAGAAAAGUUGUCAACUACAAACUUUGAUAACUUUUCAAGAUCUACAACUUUUAUAUUGGUAGUUUCUCCAUCCGAUGUCAUUUAUAAAAUUUGAAUUUCAAAUUUGAGAAAUUCAAACGUUGUUUUCGACGACAAGAUGAUCUCAAAUGAAAAAAAUUAUCAACUAUAAAAUUUCAUAACUUUUUGAGAUCUACAACUUUCAUUUUGACAGUUUUUUCAAACGAGGUCAUUUAAAAAGCUCAAAAAAUUCAAUUUCAAAUUAUUUUUAUAGGCGAUUUUCUUAAGCAACCGUCUGUAGAAAUAUGAUUUUUAGUGGCGGUUCCUUAGGACAACCGCAUGUAGAAAUACAUGAUUUCUACAUGUGGUUUUCUUAAGCAACUGCCUGUAGAAAUAUAAUUUUUAGUGGCGGUUCCUUAGGAAAACCGCAUGUACAAAUGCAUGAUUUCUACAGGCGGUUUUGUUAGAAAAACCGCAUGUAAAAAUACAUCUUCACAUACGGUUGGUAGUUCUGACACCGCCCUUUUUAUACCACAGGCGCGUGAUAACUAAAACCGCCUGUGAUAUAAAAAGGGGCGUCAGCGUUGUACUAUUUUCUACUAGUGAGCUUCCUGUCACAAACACCACAUAUGUCGCAGCAUGACCACAACGACCCUUGUGUGCCACUACUACGGAACGCUCUAUCACUAUCGGUGACAUCACAGUUAGAAAUGACAGAAUCGACAGUGAUGAGUCUUCACUGUCGGUUCAAAGCUUUGAGAGGCUUCGAAUGAUUGAAAAGGGGAAGAGCCGACAGUGAUGGACAACAUCACUGCCGGUUUGUUACUAGGACCUACAGUGUUGCCUUCUUCAUCUUUCACUGUCGGUCCGACACCUGAGCUAGCAAUGAUAUUGGGAUAUCACUGACGGCUCGUGUCGCCAACUGCCAGUGAUAUCCCCUGACAGCACAAAAAGCCUGCAGGCUUCCUCUGCUUCCGCCUCACUCCCAUCACGAGAACAUAGGAGCUUGCACGUGCCAUUCCCUCCAUUGUUACGGCUGCUCUUCCCCAUGACUCUCUCUUUUGGAUUUUGAAGAAUGGCUUGAUCUUUUUACUUUAAGGUUAGUAAGGGCAUCCACUUCAUCGAUUUUGGUGCUUAAUUAUCUUAGUUUGAAGGCUACAUUGCUUGAUUCUCAUUCUAGUUCUUCCUCCAUCCGAGAGAGCAAGCCAUUGGAUUUUGUGCAAAGCUCCCAAGCAAUUUGUGAGGAAUAUAUACAUCAUCUCCAUCAUCCAUAAAAGCUACAUGUUUUUGUCUAUAUAUCAUGACCUCAUUUGAAAUCUUUGGAAAUUUCAUGGUUUGAUCAAGAUGCAUGAUUGUUAGUAUGUGAUGCUCGAAUUAGUUCAUAUUAUUUAGGAGUAGAGUAGAUUAUUUUACAAUUUUGUUAGGAGUUGACACAUUGUUUGGUGUUCAUGAUCAAGUAUCCAAUUAAUUUUGUUCAUAAUCAAGAUGAUUGACAGUGUUCGGCAAGAAGCUUAGAGUUGUCGAACAAUGGUUGAUAUUCAUAUAUCGGCCAAAGAAAAAGUAGCCAAAUGCAUGCAUCACAUUUAGAGCAAAAGCAGGCGAUGGAGUAAACAACAUUGCUCUCAUCAUUGUUAUGUCUUUCCAAACUCACAUAUAUGCUUUGUUUAAAAACAUAAGAACAUAUGUUAAUAACGAAAUAUGAUCAGUCAUUCAGCAAUAUUUUUCCUCUCAGAAUAAAUUAGUAAAGAGUAAUUUCAUUUAUGACUCUUGUAUUGUCAUGACUCGACACCAUAACACGGUGCUUUGAGCAUAGUGUGCAUCAUUCAUGGCUCUUUAUUCCAGAAACAGUACUAAUACACUGACCACGUACAAGAGCACAAACAAGCAUAUCGAGCAGAGCAGCGACAUUUAUUUUAUUUCUUACAUUAAUUUAUUUUAUUUCUUCUCUCAGACGAAGCUCGAGAGGAAGCAAACUCGAUCGACUUGUCGCAUGCAUGCCAUCAGAAGCCCCUACCCAGGAACGCCGCCUCCGGCGCCGGCGCCGGCGCCGGCGCUGGCGUGCAGCGCUGCUCGCAGAAGUUUGUGAGAACGUCAUCGCAGCGGUAGGUGACGACGGGGCCAGAGCCGACCAUGACGCAGUUCUUGCACUCCGGGUGGCACCCGUCCACCGAGACGUCAUCGCACUGGCAGUCCGGCGGCAGCUGCCUGUCACAAAAACCGCAGUUGUCGCAGCACGGCCACGACGAGCCUGGUUUCCACCCGGUGUGGCCGUACAUGUUUAGUAAAAAAUGUCAAGUGUGCAUGCAUACAUCCUUUAACAAGUGAUAUAUAUAUAUAAAAGAAACUAAACGGUGCAUGAAAGGAUUCUGGGUACCUUUGCCGAGCGGCAGAGCAGCGAGGACGCCGAGAAGAGCCAGAGUGACGACGAGUAUCAGCUGAGGCCUCAUCUUUGUUACUGUGUCCCGGCAAGAACAGGCCUGAAUUUAUGCCAAGUUUUUUGCUUGGAUUUCUUUGCUACGUGUAUGUAUAUUCUCGCGGCUAUAUGAUGUGUAUGGUCGAGGCUGGAGGUCUUGUUAUAUAUAGCAUAGCAGGGGAUGGAGGGCGCGCGGCUUCCAGCGUGCCUAGAGACGUCAAUCCCCACACGAUCGAAUAUAUAAAAUUCCACUACUAGCUAGGCGGCGGCAAGUGCCACAACUUUGCACUCCCGUGCGAUGCGACACGGUCUGGAUGAGUUUCCAAGCGCGCGCACGUUCCAUUCGUAUUUUUCUCAUUCCAUCAUGCAAUGCACAUGCCACCUGCGAGGGCGAUCUUUUGAGCCUAGUGAGUCAAUAAUUAAUUACAUAGUUUGUUUGUAAUUUGCGAGACGACGAAUCUUUUGAGCCUAGUGAGUCAAUAAUUAGAUAAUAUUUAUUAAAUAUAAACGAAAAUGUUACAAUAUCGAUUUUGCCAAAAAUUUGGAAGUAAACGAGACCCUGCUUGGUUGACUGAGUGCAGGGGUGACGCAGUGCACAUGUGUCUAGGGAUCUUUUUAUAUAUAUAGAGCAUUAAUUAUAGAUAAAAAAUAACUAAUUGUAUAGUUUGCUUAUAAUUUGAGAGACGAAUCUUUUGAGUCUAUGUAGUCUAUGAUUAGAUAAGUGUUCAUUUUGUAAAAGAAAAUUGGAAUUCAACAAGCCGCUAGUUGGUUGACCGAGUGCAUCAGUGCACAUGUGUCUGGAGAUACUUCCUGGAUGUCCUCUCUAUGUGCCUAGUCAUCUCAGGUGGGAACGGGAGCCCAGCACGGUCAGCAUGCAUGUGCUCAGUCCUCGCCUUGCCACCUCGAACGAAGGCCUUGUUUAGUUUUCUCCGAAACUCAAAAACUUUUUCAAGAUUUCCUGUUAUAUUGAAUUUUGCGACAUAUGAAUGGAGCAUUAAAUAUAGAUAAAAAUAAAAACUAAUUAUACAAUUUAUCUAUAAAUUACGAGAUGAAUAUUUUAAGCCUAUUUAAUCUAUGAUUGGACAAUAAUUACCAAAUACAAACAAAAAUACUACAGUAUUCAAAUAUUUUCUCUCCAGGCCUUGUUUAGUUCCAAAAUUUUUGGCAAAAUGACCACUGUAGCAAUUUCGUUUGUAUUUGACAAAUAUUGUUCAAUCAUGGACUAACUAGACUCAAAAGAUUCGUCUCGUCAAUUCCGACUAAACUGUGCAAUUAGUUUUUAUUUUUAUCUAUAUUUAAUACUCCAUGCAUACGUCUAAAGAUUCGAUGUGACGGGGAAUCUGAAAAAUUUUGCAAAAUUUUUGGGAAACUAAACAAGGCCCCACUCAACUAAACAAGGCCGAGCUGAUUGACCGUGGAGCCAUGGAGCUGGCGUCUCAACUAUCUAUAACUCUUAUAAAAGCAAAACUCCACUAUCACUACUACAGAAUGAGGCAUUGGUCGAUGUCCAAAAUGGCCCAAAACCUCGGCCUUUUUACGGCCCGGGGUUAAAGACCCCUUUAACACCGGUUCGUAACACGAACCGGUGCUAAAGGGUCCUGGCCAACGGCUACUGACAGGUGUUGUCGGGGCAGGGACCCUUUAGCACCGGUUCGUGUUACAAACUGGUGCUAAAGGGUCUCUUUGAGCACCGGCCAGUGCCACGGGCCGAGGCAAAGCCUUUAGCACCGGUUUGUAACACAAACCGGUGCUAAAGGGUCACCCUUUAGCACCGGUUUUUGCCAUGAACCGGUGCUAAAGGUCCGGUUUAUAUGCCGGAUCCCUCCUUCUCUCUGCCCAUUUGAAACCGAGAGCAACAUUCACCAUAUCUAUUUCUCUUGACAUACAAUGCACCUACCUCAGCAGUUCACUAUCAACCCCACUAUCUAUUUCUCUUAAAAUGUAAAGCAUCCAUCUCAGCAGUCCACUAUCAUUCGCCACUACAAAUUUCUCUUGACAUGCAAGGUGUCCACCACAGCAAUCUACUAUCAUUUGCAUUAAAUUUCACUAGCACAAGAAUUAUGACAUCCACAGGGACGAAGCCAGGAAAAAAUUUAGGGGAGCUGAACAAAAGUUCUACAUCGACUUAGCUCUGCUAUUAUCCCUCUUAAAUAUAUAUUAAUGAUGAAGUUUACAAAAUAUAUCUAAAAAAUAAAGUUCUCAACUCACCCUACCUUAUAAAUUUGUGUCUAAAAUUAGAAGGAGGGCACUAGGAAUUCCACUGGGCCAGCAGCGGUAGGGGGGGCUGGAGCCCCCCUAGCCCCACUGCUGGCUUCGUCCCUGGACGUCCACAUUAGUGAGACACAUCAUCCACUAUGAAUAUAAUUUCUAUGAUUAUGCUAAUAAAAGAGUUAUAUAUUUAUAUUGCUCCUUCAUACCCGCGGCAACGCGCGGAGAAUCCUCCUAGUUUUAUAUAUAACCAUGUCAUUGUCACUUCAUUACGGAGUCUCACAUGUAAAUGAUUUUUAUUCUUCUUCUCUCGUUCUUUAUGAGCAGGCCACAAACUAUCUCGUUUUUCUGAGCGAGAUAGGUGUAGAGAUAAGAGAUAGUCUCUUCUCUUUUCCAUCUUCUUUCUUUUUCACAUCAGAUGAGAUAGGUAUAGAGAUAAGAGAUAGUCUCUUCUCUUUUCCAUCUUCUCUCUUUUUCACAUAAGAAAAGUGCUCACAUGAAUUGUUAUGAGCCAGUUAAUGUGGCACUGUUGGUACACCUGGAGCAGCACCAAUGGAGAGGGCAGCAAAGUGUAGCCUUUAGCUCACAUAGGAGAGCAGACCUGGUUGGGCGAUUGGUAGCUGUGGAGUUAACUUGAGCGUCGACAUGGUGCAUGGAGAUCUCACAAAUUUGUGUCAUCCAAGGGAUAUGGACAUAAAAAAGGAUUUGCUGAUUGUUCCUAUUUUUCAAAGCAGAUAAAAUUCUACUUUCAAGAAUCUGACAGUUGAGAGUAUUGUGAGAGAAACUUGCACAGUAAGUGUAAAUCUUGCUGAUUUUCAUGUGACGUACAACUUUACUAGUACUUUUCAACAAACGAGCAUUGUUUUCAGCUCAUAAUAAAUCACUAUAAGAAUGAACAUAAGCUAAAAUUUUAAUGAAAUAAGCAUAAACAUAAACCAAAUUUCAGUGCAACGAGCAGGAAGCUGUGGGCAAUACAAGUACAACAAGGUAACCAAGAUAUUGUCACGACACGAUACCAGUGCUUUGAGCAUAUUGCAGCUUCAUCCUGAAUGGCUAUUUAUUCCAGAAACAAUACUAAUAAUACACUGACUGACGAUACAAUAGCAAGCAUCGAGCUGAGCGGCGACAUUUAUUCUAUUUCUUCUCUCAGACGAAGCUCGAGAAGCAAACUAGACUUGCCAUAUGGAUGCUUGUAGCAGAUUGGCAUCAGAAGCCACCACCCAGGAACGCCGCCUCCGCGGCGGUGGUGCGUGCAGCGUUAUUGUAGAAGUUUGUGAGGAUGUCAUCGCAGCGGUAGGUGACGACGGGGCCAUGGCCGCCGUUGGGAUGAAUCCCUGCACCGACCUUGAUGCAAAUCUUGCACUCCGGGUGGCACCCCUGCACCGAGACAUCCUUGCACUUGCAGUCCGGCGGGAGCUUCCUGUCACAAACACCGCAGUUGUCGCAGCACGGCCACGA
rnacentral:lncRNA from 1 species